rnacentral:tRNA from 1 species
GAGGUUAUAGUUCAGUGGUAGAACACUUGCCUAGCAUGUAUGAGGCACUGGGUUCUAUCCUCA